AUGAGAGUAUUGAUUAACCCAUUUUCUGUUUCUAAGCUAUCUUUAUUUUUCAUAGCUACUUUGGUGUUUUGUUUGGCAGAGAAGAUGGUUUCAAAACAGAGAGUUGUUGUUUCGAAGUUAUCUGUAAAGGUAAUUCAUAUAUAUCAUAAGUUCAUUAACAUACUUACUUCAUAUGAACAUUAUUCUUUUACUUCAUUAACAUAUGGGCCAAUAUGUUCGCACCAUACCCUCAGGGCCAUUACCUUGACUGUCCAUUCUAGAUUAAUUAAGCUCCAAGGCACUUGGUCAAUCCUAUUGGGACGCACUGGUACUUACUUUCUGAUGAAGUCGAAUCAGCUAUUUUAUUUUUAUUUUUGA
rnacentral:rRNA from 1 species